rnacentral:tRNA from 1 species
UCCUGAGUAGCUCAACGGUAGAGCAUUCGGCUGUUAACCGAAAUGUUGUAGGUUCGAAUCCUACCUCAGGAGCCA